UUUUUUAUUUUAAUUCGAAUAUUAAAAAAAACAACAGUAAUUAAAUUAUACACAUGUAUACUAUAUUUUUGAGGUAAAAAUUAAAAAAAAAAAAAAUCGUUGCAAUAAUCCACCUUCCUCGCAACGCGGAAAAUUAUUCCACGUGAAAACAAAAAUUUCAUCGCUAUUUGAAAUCUUGCGGAUUAUUAAAAAAAUAUUAAAACUCUACCUUCCCGAUUAAUCUUGCCAAAAUGAAAAAAAAAAAUAUCACAAUAUUCAAAAAAACAUUCGUAUUCCUAAAAACGUCAAACCAAAUCCCCCUAACGAAUUUCCCCUAAAUUAUCCCCACCCAAUGAAAAACCACCGCGUAUUAAACAACGAAAUGUGAAAAAUCGGCGGUGGAAUAUUCUCUCCACGCGGAGACAGAGACGAAACUCUCGUGAGGAUGAAAUUACAUACGCCUGUUAAUGAAAUCUCGCCAACGUAACACGUUCAAGCGGGCGAGGAAAGAAAAGAAAAUUUCGCUCGCGUAACACGGCUUCUAAUGACGGUUUUAAUCAGCGCAAGGUGGAUAAGCCUCGCGAGAUCUACGGCAGAGGGCAGAGCUAAAAGAGUCAAGAAGAUGGCCGUUAACCGUCCUCCUGCCAAGUUUUAUGGUCGAGCUCGUGCUAAUGCGCUACACUUUGUCGUACGUCGUGCCACGUUGCCCAUUAAUGGAACCUUGGAUUAAGAAAGGGAGGAAGGAGAAGUGUAAAUAUUGCCGGAGCCAACUGGCAGCGGUGAUAAGUGGCCGAAAGAAUUUCUCGUUCGGUUAAGCGGCUGUAAGAAGAAGAGGUUAUGUGUAUCGGCGGAACAAAUAUGGAGACGUCUCGUCGCGCUUCGUCGAGCCUCGGAAAAGGCGAGCCGAGUUUCCAAAGCGCGUGAAGAUAAAUCUUUGGAAGGGAGAGGCGGCCAGGACAGGUGAAACCGCACAGCGCAGCGGCGCGGAGAAAGGUUGGCGGGGAAAAAUGCGCACUCCGGACGAAGAGAAAUGGGGAACGAUCCAGGCCGAUCGUCUAUUAAUCGCGCGAGUAUCUUGAAAACGAAAUCCAGAAAAGGAUUUUGCUCUUUUUUCCCCUUGAAUUUUGAUAUCGAUUAGUUAUAUAUCAAGUGAAUGGUUAGUAUGUGUAGUAAUCCUAAAUCAAUUGAAUAUUUUGGAUAGAAAAUACUUUUUCUCGUGAAUUUUGAUACUGAUAGUUGAUGAACGGUUAGUAACGUAGUUUAUUUGAUUGCGAUUCGAAAUUGGUGUGAAUAUUUUGGAUCGAAUUUUAUUUCAGCAAGCUUUCCUUUUUUUCCUAUGAAUUUUGAUACCGAUACCAAGUUCGUUAUUUAAUCACUAUCCUAAAUUAAUUGAAUAUUUUGGAUCGAGAAUGUUUGAAAAAAUUGAUCUCUUUCUAUACUUUUUCUCAUGAAUUUUGAUACUGAUAAUUGGUGAAUGGUUAGUAGUUUACACGGUUCGUUAUUUAAUCCCAAAUCAAUUAAAAAUUGAAUCUUUUUCUAUACUUUUUUCCCUAAAGUUUGAUAGCAAUCGAUGAACAGAUAGAUUAAUUCACUAGCUAGUUAUUUUAUUUCACGAAGAAAUAACUCACAGAAGAAAUUUUUCUGAUACUCCUCGUUGCCGGCAAACGUGCACGUAUCAUCUCUCGUGUACGUAUUUUCUCGAUGUAAUAGCUUCUGACUAUCCGAACGCCGAUAGUAGGAUAUAUUUCUUUCACGCUCUCUUCCGCACAACGAUUCGUAAAUCGUGAUCGCGCGCAUUACGUGCACCCGACCACAAGAUAUUCCCGUGCUAUCUGAUUUUAUAGCGCUGUUCCCAUUCAAUCUACCGCGAAUUUAAUCGCGUAGCCGCGGUCUUGAUUCGAAGAAAAUUGCAAAGUCGAGGACAAAAAUACGCGAUUCUGAAUCUGAACGCUUUCGUAUCACGUACGCCAUACGUAAAUUGUUAUAUUUAGAGAAAUCGACUCUUUCGAAAAAUCAAAAAUGUUCAAAGAAUAAAGAAAGAGAAAGAAAAGCAAUAUUUCAUAUAAAAUAUAGCAAUUUAAUAGCAGUAAUAGUACUAAUAGUACUAUUGAUUUAAUCUUGUUGUGUUUUAUAUCCUUGGGCGAAAUAUAGUGGAAGGACAAGGCUGAAAGACGUUUAUAAAAUUAAACGUCUUCUAACAUAGAACAUCAACGCGUAUGUGUCUCUCAGGUUUCAUAUAUAUAUGUUCUCAGCCGAGUGAUAAAUGCGGAUCGUAAAACGGCACAAGGAGACGUAAUUAAGAAGGGAGAAGCAGUUGAACCGUGGGAGAAUGCAUCGGUCCUCACAUAAAUCUCCACGAAUUAAAUUGAACUUUUACAAAUCCAUUGUAGCCAUGGCAAAGUUAACCACGAGAAUGGAUCGUGUCUCUUUUCGAGAGAUAACUGGGACGAUUGUAUGUAACCUCGAAUUCGAUUCGAUUCUUCGAGAGGCGUUUAAUUAUUCCGAUUAUAUAUAUUUCUUUCACCAUUAAAUUUUUGGCUCUGGACUCUCUUGAUGUAAACAAAAAUCAAAUGUUUGACUAAUUAUUUCACUUUUGAAAAACUACAUUUCGUUAAAAAUUUCUCGCCGAUAACCAAACAAAUUACACUCGAUGUUAAACAGUCAUUAUUGUCAACCCGCAAACGUCGAACGUCGACUGCUCGCAACGCCAUCUUCUAUUAACGAACGAGCACGGCUCGCGCUUUGCGCGCCACCUGGUCAAUCGAGUCGCGUGUUCCCUCCGGGAAAGAACGGGAUUAUUAGUCUGAUCUCGCCAUUUAUUUCCACCGGCCAUGAAUACGUAAUCGUGAAUUUUGAAGCGGAUGGAUCCAACGAACGAUGAGCCAACGUGUUUGCCAAACUAGUGAUCGUAACUCGAUCGGUCGUGCUUAAUUCCGUGGUCACGUGAAAAUUCCAUCCUUGUCGUCUCUCGUAUCCACUUUCCAAGUGGCGAAACACCGUUAACGCUGAUUUCCUGCUCAAAAUUCCGCAAGCCUCUCUCUCCGUAGUUCGUUAACGAUCCCGCUUUCGCAAGCUUAUCCACUCAAUUCUGAUUUAUUAAGGCACUUCGACCAAAUAUCUCACCCCGAGCGUGGAAUUGCGACGAGUUUGAAAGGUGCCGCGCCCGGAAUCAAAGGGGAAAUUUAAACGAAUUAUCCCGUGUUUCCUAAUGUCCCGAACUUGGACGCUCGUAAUCCUCUUUCAACUGGAUACUUCAAGUCUCUAUUUAUCUUCGCCAGUGGCGCUGUAGAGAAGAACGAAUAUUUUACGCGAAAACGAUCGACGUGAAAAUGACGAGGACUAAGACGAAUCUCUUCCGAAACGAAAAGGAUUCACUACGCAGGGAAGCGAGAGGAGACUGAAAUCCGAAAAUUGGUCUCGACGAGGUGAACAACUUAAACCACCAGGAAGAUUUUGUUUGAUUCGAAUCGAGUGCGGGGAAAGGAGUUGCACCAGACCCGAUUAUUGCGACACGUCUAGCAAUUCCUGGGAAAGCAUCGGUUAAUCCGGUUUCGAUAAUCCUCCUGCCGGAUUCGAGUAGUUUCGACUCGGAAGAGGGGAUAAGAUAAAAGAGAGUGGGGGCACGGGUUUAACCGUUCGCGCUCGGCCCGCCGAUCAAUCUCGCUCAAGAAUUCGAAUCGUGACUCGUGAGAAAAUCGAGGGAUCUGCUCGGAAUUGAUAUAUCGGAUGCUAAUGUACACGCGCUCCGUCUUCGUCCAAAUUGAAUAAUAAUUUAAUAAAUGGAAUAGAGUAGAUAGUUUGUGCAUUAUAUAUUAUAAAUUUAAAUUUCCACGUAUAAUUUAAUAAUCAAACAUGGCGUUAAUUUAUUAAUUAUGAUAUAAAAAUUUAAAUAGUGACAUUUCGUUUACGAAUAAUCAAAGAUACGAUUAAUAAAAUAAUUUAAUUUUUAUAAUGCAUUUCUUUCGAAAUACAUGUUUGAAAAAUCGAAUCGACUCGAAUUAAUUCGAACGAUCUAUCCUUGAUCGAUAUUUUUCUACAUUCUUCGAUUAUUUCUUUUUAAUCUUAAAACAAUCUAAAUAUAUCUUGGCUCCGAGCGAAAAGACAAAAAGGAGGAAAAAUUCGAAAGGAACGAGAUCGAAGAGGAUAUCAAGGUGGAUACAUAAAGUUUCGCGAGUUCAAUACGGUGGCCAACGAUUUGGCCGAUAGCCAAUCUCUUUCCAGUCGGUUUAACUGAAAUAAAGGUUGUCAUAUUGAGAAUUUGUCGAAAGUAAUGUAACUCGCCGAAAGCAGAGGGCGAGAGAGAGAGAGAUGGAAUCUCGUUCCAUCCGUUAUUUUCCAGGAUUAUCGCGGACGAUAAAACUGGUCCGUCAUCGCGGUUGGGAAUAACGAUCGAGGUUGUUAGUCGAUCGCGGUUGUCGAAAAUAACCGCGAGCCUUUUAACCGGACCUCUCCCCUCCCCUCCUCUCCCUCUCUCUCUAUCCCCUCCCAUCCGUAGCCGCGGCGGCGUUGCGCGAUUUCUCUCGUUCGAAAAUUUAUCGCUCGGCUGUGAUUAAUCCGCGGCGAGAACGUAUUUACGAGCGUGCUUCAACGACGCUGUAACCGCGGACGAAUGCGCUGUGCGUUCGAGCGUAUUUUCAAGGUGAACGGACAUUUUUCCAUCGAUCCGACUCGAUUCGAUCCUUCGCCCGAAAUUGCCGCCAUGUUCACGCGUACACCGUUCCUUAUUUUACUGCGAAGAUAUUAUUCGAGGAGGAGUAUUGAGAAUUCGUUGAUAAUUAUUUUUUAUAUAGUUAGUUUAGUAGAGAUGAUAAAUAUUUUGAAUAUUUAUAAAUAAAAUAUUUUGAAGCUCCAUUUAAAAAUAUAUAUGUAUAUAUUUAUUGUAGAGAAAUAUUGAGAAUUUGAUUUAUUUGUAAUAAGGAGACGCAAUUAAUUUUCAAAAAGAUUGUCACGGAUGCUCGCGUUACAUUCCUCCUCCUUUUAUCGACAACUCUAUUUAUUCACUUUCCUCCGUUAAUAGAGGAAAUGGUGGAAAUGUGAAGAGUAGAAUAGAAAAGACACGAAUAGGAAUAAUAUAUAAUGAGAUAUUUAAUUAACCUUGUAAUGCGUUCGUAUAAGUAAAUUAAUUAAAAAAAAUAAUAGAUUGUAAUUUUCAAAGUGGAAUUAAUAAUCUUCUAAUGGAAUAUAUUAUCUCUGUCUUACCUCUUAUCUUGGAAUAAUAAUUUUAAAAUCCUAUGUAAAAAUUA